rnacentral:misc_RNA from 1 species
UCUCCGUUGGUGAACCGGCGGAGGGAUCAUUACCGAGUUUACAACUCCCAAACCCCUGUGAACAUACCUGUUUUGUUGCUUCGGCGGUGCCCUCGCUCUCGCGGCGAGGCCCGCCAGAGGACCCAAACAAACUCUUUGACUUUGAUCUAGGAUUAUACUUCUGAGUGAUACAAAAAAUAAAAUCAAAACUUUCGACAACGGAUCUCUUGGUUCUG